UAGGUACAUAAGCCCAAUAAGUGUGUUCAAUCAAGUCAGCCUGAGCGGGGGAAGCGAAAGCAAGCAAAGCAAGCAUAGUGAAAAAAAUAUUUUCAGGAUUCUGAGGCAUUCCCUGUUGAGAAAUCAGAGUUUCAGCUUGAUUAGUAAGGGUUUUUAUCUGUCACCAAGUAGGGAGAUCAUGAGGUCGAUGACAUCGAGUGCAGUGUUUUUGGAAAUUUUUAAAGCUGCCAUGGCUUGUACUGGAAUUUCUUCCUCCUGGGGUUUUUGUUGUUUCAUCUCUAGUUUGAAUGUUGGGGGCCCCCUUAGGUCGAAUCUUCCGAAGAGGAAGCCAUGUGAGUUCGUUGGAUCCAUCUGGAGAAAUAGAAGCAUACCCCUUUCCCUGUAAGAUUAAUUUCCUAGAUUUCCAUUGAUUAGUUAACCCGUCUUGAUGCCAAAUGGGCAAAGGAAGGGAAGUAUCCUUCAAUGUCUCGAAAUGUUUUUCUGCUUUUGUCAAAUUAUCUCCUUGCAAAUUUAAAAAAUUUAAAACAAAUAAAGCUAUACUAACAAUAGUUACAGAAAGAAAGGAAAGAGAUAAUGAUGAAAACAUUACUAGGAAAUAUUUCAGUCCAAAAAAACAUCAUCUAGAGGUCAGUUUGGGGACUAGUAGAUAAUGUCCCCCAAAAGGACACUGAGAAGCUCUUAUUUUAAAUUGACCUUAACUCUUGACUACCUAAGCCUUUCCUCCUGAAUGUUGUUUCCAUGAAUUUACUUCCGUGUCAAAUGUAUGAGCCACCAUCUUGCUCAGCCAAUGCUAUUGUUUCUCUUUUUCACAUAUGUAAAUCAAACAGGCCCAAUUUUGGCUGUAAGUUAACUUCUUGGUCUUCGGGUAUCUUGGAACUGACAACACUGAUGUUGUUAGAGGUAGGUUUUUCUGGUUGAUACAGUUUAUGUCUCAUGUUUAACAGAUGGGACAGUCACUGACCUAAAACAAGACUUUGUAGACAUAAGCACCCAUUAAAAAUUUUUUUUUUUCAUUAGGCCCAGGUGUCGGUGGCAGAGUCUGUCUAACAUAGAGUUCAUCAGCUCCAACCAAGUGAAAUUACUGAAAAGCUGAUGCAGAACAACUUGACAAAUGGAACGCUGUUCAAGUCCAAAUGUCUGACCUUGUCCCUGGAAAAAAAAACACACCUGGCAGCUAUUGAAUCUCUCUGUUCAGUGUGUCAAGGAAGAUAAUUAUACUUUCAAGACAGACCUGAAAAGAAGAUGAAUAUUUUGCACUUUUGAUACUCUUAGGAACAAAUAACUUAUUUGGCAAAUGGUGUUUUUUUUAAUGUUGUUUUUGUUUUGUAUUGUGAAAUAGGCACUGAAGCUGAUGUUAUUUUGUUUUAAGAAUCUGACAGACUGGAAACAGAAAUAAAGCUAUAUUAACAA